GGCACCUAGCAGGGCUGAUCUGGAGUCCUAGAGAAAUUUGUUAGAACAGGAGUGUGAAAUAGGAAGGUAUGGGUUGGCUUCCCCUCACCCUACAGAGCACCGGGGUGCUGUGGGGCAGCGGGUGCAUCCCCAGCUGCAGGCCGCGCUCAUCGUUUCCAUGGCAACGCAAGAUGGCAGGUCUGCCCUGCUCCUCACAGUGCAAAAUGCCGGGUUUUGUCCAUCGGCUGAAGGCAGCAAUCCUGCCCUAGUGACAAAAGUGAACAAAUUAUUUAGGACACUCAGGAGAAAAAGCCACUUGAUAGUGUUUUAUCUGCUUAUCAUCUGGGGUGAUCUCUUCACCACGGUGAGGGAAAGAGUGGCAAAUCUGAUAAAGGUGACACAAACUGUCAGGAGAAUUGGUGGCAUCGAGGGAGGCCUGGUGCUAAUCAUCCAACUGGAGUGGAAGAGUUUGCAGGCUCUCUGUUGUGAGGAAAUCUGUGCAGCUGUGGUUCAGCAUCUGUAGUGUGCAAAAAUUAGCAACAAACUCAGCGAAAAACUGGAGCCUAUGCUAGACCUUGAUUCAAGAUGUAUGGCAACCUCCCUGCAUUUAAAGAACUCUGGUUCUGGUCCUUACUUGCAGAGUGACUAAG
rnacentral:lncRNA from 1 species